rnacentral:tRNA from 1 species
UGCGGAAUCGCCAAGGGGUAAGGCAGCGGCCUCAUAAGCCGCUUACGCGCGGGUUCGAGUCCCGCUUCCGCUA